rnacentral:rRNA from 1 species
UACGUAGGGUGCGAGCGUUGUCCGGAAUUAUUGGGCGUAAAGAGCUUGUAGGCGGUUUGUCGCGUCUGCCGUGAAAAUUCGAGGCUCAACCUCGAACUUGCGGUGGGUACGGGCAGACUAGAGUGUGGUAGGGGAGACUGGAAUUCCUGGUGUAGCGGUGAAAUGCGCAGAUAUCAGGAGGAACACCGAUGGCGAAGGCAGAUCUCUGGGCCGUAACUGACGCUGAGGAGCGAAAGCAUGGGGAGCGAACAGG